rnacentral:lncRNA from 1 species
AGUAAUGAUUAAAAAUUAAAGCAAGGCAAUUCAUUCUUCUUUCAGACGUCGUUGAUGCAAGAUUUCAAGAAUAACAUUUACAGAUAAAGGGUGUGUAACUAUCAUGAAUUCAAGGCUUGUCGUUGUGUUUCUUUUGUGCGCCAUCCUUGUCGUCUCCGUGACCUCUAUGCGUGUGAAAUGGGAUGAUUUCGAGAGAGAUGAGGACUACGAGGAAGAGCGUCGUUAUUUAAGAAACGCCAAACGAGGAUGCUAUGAUACUUUUUUUGCUGCUUCUUGCCAGAGGGCGAAAAAAACCGAUAACUGUUGGAAAUCACAAUAUGCAGAAAACUGUGCUAAAACAUGUGGUAAAUGCUAACUGAAGAACAAUGACCAAAUAGGGGACCAAAUAGAGAAUAAUAAAAGCAGAUUUAAAAAAAACCCAUAAUCAUUCAUCUAUUGAGUUUGAUACUCUCAUUUGUAAAAUAAGUCUGGCUAAUGUGAUGGGUUCACCUUCACUUUGAUGGACUUAAAUAAACAUAGAUAAGAUAAGAAUAUAGAUGUAGAUAAGAAUAUAGAUGUAGAUAAGUAUAGUUUCCAGUUAUGUAUAUCACAGUGAGCUUAAAUUGUCAAUUAGAGAUCGGUGACAAACGUUGAAAUAAACGAUAUAACAAGCCGUA